ACACCACAAGAUCUGUUGAAAGAUGUUAAGGGUGAAAGCUAGCUGAAGAAUGCUAAUACUCCCAGGGAUUUUCUUUUGUGGAUUUAAACUCCCUUCUCUCCAUCUAGAUCAUGUUUCUAACGGAUACUGCAUUCCUGAGGACAGGAACCAAAGCCCAUGGAAAUCUGCUGGUCAGAAACUCAGUCUACCUUCCUGUAUGGCCAUUCUGGUUAGCAUAGAAUAGCAGCAACACAACCCCUUUCAGAUAGGAUCUUUCCAGAG